rnacentral:lncRNA from 1 species
UCAAUUUCAAUCCAACUAAUCCAACCUUUUCAAAAUUAAAUUAGUUUAUGGGCAUGCUGCACAGUCGUCUAUGUAUAGAGCUUGCACGCAUAGAAUUUAGAAAUAAAAACAGUUGAAUGAAACAAUAAAUUAAUUCAUAUCUAUGCUUCAACCAUUAAAGAAAAUAAAGGUUUCAUCAUGUAAUCCUAACCCUAUGAGAUUUAGCUUAUGGGUUGGAAAAUGAAAUUCAAAACCAAAAUAUCAUUCAACAUCUAUUUCAUCAAAAUAAUUCAUGGAGAAAUAGUUAAGAAAUAAGAGAAAAAU